GACGAACGCUGGCGGCGUGCUUAACACAUGCAAGUCGAACGGAAAGGCCCUGCUUUUGUGGGGUGCUCGAGUGGCGAACGGGUGAGUAACACGUGAGUAACCUGCCCUUGACUUUGGGAUAACUUCAGGAAACUGGGGCUAAUACCGGAUAGGAGCUCCUGCUGCAUGGUGGGGGUUGGAAAGUUUCGGCGGUUGGGGAUGGACUCGCGGCUUUUCAGCUUGUUGGUGGGGUAGUGGCUUACCAAGGCUUUGACGGGUAGCCGGCCUGAGAGGGUGACCGGCCACAUUGGGACUGAGGUACGGCCCGGACUCCAACGGGAGGCAGCAGUGGGGAAUAUUGCACAAUGGGCGGAAGCCUGAUGCAGCAACGCCGCGUGCGGGAUGACGGCCUUCGGGUUGUAAACCGCUUUCGCCUGUGACGAAGCGUGAGUGACGGUAACGGGUAAAGAAGCACCGGCUAACUACGUG
rnacentral:rRNA from 1 species